rnacentral:tRNA from 1 species
GAGGGUAUAGCUCAGUGAUAGAGUACAUGCUUAGCAUGCACAAGGUCCUGGGAUCAAUCCCAGUACCUCCA